AUACGUAGGUGGCGAGCGUUGUCCGGAUUUACUGGGCGUAAAGGGAGCGUUAGGCGGAUUUUUAAGUGAGAUGUGAAAUACUCGGGCUUAACCUGAGUGCUGCAUUUCAAACUGGAAGUCUAGAGUGCAGGAGAGGAGAAGGGAAUUCCUAGUGUAGCGGUGAAAUGCGUAGAGAUUAGGAAGAACACCAGUGGCGAAGGCGCUUCUCUGGACUGUAACUGACGCUGAGGCUCGAAAGUGUGGGGAGC
rnacentral:rRNA from 1 species